GCCUACAGAGUGAUGCAUCAGGCGGGUGUUGUCCAGUAGAGUCUGAUACACAAUCUACAAGGUGAUACAUCAGACAGCUGUUGUCCAGUAGAGUGAUACACAAUCUACAAGGUGAU